UACGUAGGUGGCAAGCGUUGUCCGGAUUUAUUGGGUUUAAAGGGUGCGUAGGCGGUCUAUUAAGUCAGUGCUGAAAUAUCCCGGCUUAACCGGGAGGGUGGCAUUGAUACUGAUGGACUUGAGUGCAGUCGAGGUAGGCGGAAUUGACGGUGUAGCGGUGAAAUGCUUAGAUAUCGUCAAGAACACCGAUAGUGAAGACAGCUUACUAGACUGUAACUGACGCUGAGGCACGAAAAGUGUGGGGAUCAAAACAGGG
rnacentral:rRNA from 1 species